GCCAGACUCCUACGGGAGGCAGCAGUGGGGAAUAUUGGGCAAUGGGCGCAAGCCUGACCCAGCAACGCCGCGUGAAGGAAGAAGGCUUUCGGGUUGUAAACUUCUUUUGUCAGGGACGAAGCAAGUGACGGUACCUGACGAAUAAGCCACGGCUAACUACGUGCCAGCAGCCGCGGUAAUACGUAGGUGGCGAGCGUUGUCCGGAUUUACUGGGUGUGAAGGGCGCGUAGGCGGAUUUGCAAGUCAGAUGUGAAAUACCGGGGCUUAACUCCGGAACUGCAUUUGAAACUGUAGACCUUGAGUGCCGGAGGGGAAAGCGGAAUUCCUAGUGUAGCGGUGAAAUGCGUAGAUAUUAGGAGGAACACCAGUGGCGAAGGCGGCUUUCUGGACGGUAACUGACGCUGAGGCGCGAAAGUGUGGGUAGCAAACAGGAUUAGAUACCCCUGUAGCA
rnacentral:rRNA from 1 species